GGGCCGGGCGGUACGAUUGCACGCGGACUUUUAAUCCGUUGAUCAGAGUUCGAUUCUCUGGCAGCCUACCA
rnacentral:tRNA from 1 species